GGGAGUAUAGGCUAACCUGGCAGACUGGCGGGCUCCAGACCCGCUGACGGGGGUUCAAAUCCCUCUACUCCCA
rnacentral:tRNA from 1 species